GAUGAACGCUGGCGGCGUGCUUAACACAUGCAAGUCGAACGGUGAAGCAGGAGCUUGCUCUUGUGGAUCAGUGGCGAACGGGUGAGUAACACGUGAGCAACCUGCCCCUGACUCUGGGAUAAGCGCUGGAAACGGCGUCUAAUACUGGAUAUGUGAUGUGACCGCAUGGUCUGCAUCUGGAAAGAAUUUCGGUUGGGGAUGGGCUCGCGGCCUAUCAGCUUGUUGGUGAGGUAAUGGCUCACCAAGGCGUCGACGGGUAGCCGGCCUGAGGGGGGGACCGGCCACCCUGGGACUGAGACACGGCCCAGACUCCUACGGGAGGAAGCAGUGGGGAAUAGUGCACAAUGGGCGGAAGCCUGAUGCAGCAACGCCGCGUGAGGGAUGACGGCCUUCGGGUUGUAAACCUCUUUUAGCAGGGAAGAAGCGAAAGUGACGGUACCUGCAGAAAAAGCACCGGCUAACUACGUGCCAGCAGCCGCCGUAA
rnacentral:rRNA from 1 species